GACAUUGCUUAUGUAUUUCUGAGGCCACAGGACUGUCAGAGAUUUCAGCUCUUUUUCUGAAAAGUGCAUGUCAAAAACUCAGGAAACUCCUGUUUCCAGGUAACACCAGUCUGAACUGCCAUUUCAAUUCCUUCCUUGUCCAAGAAUUUACCAGCCAGCAGAAGACAAAGAGUAAUCAUUUUUCCUACAAACCACCUCCACCUUUUUGAAGGACCAUAGCACAGAUUCAUAACUAUCUGAUGGCUGCUUCAAAUAACUGUCACUGUGGCACUGAAGUUUUCAACACCUCUUGAAGUGAAGUUGAAGAUGACAGCCCUCCUGAUCUCACUCAGCUGUCAGAAGUGUUAGCCAUACCAUGAUGGCCUGAAGGAGAUGAGAUCACAUGGAAAAUAGACUAGAUGGACAAUACCUUGGACACCAGAACUGAGUCCAAAACCAAAGGAGUUGGCUGAGAAUGGUAUUUCCAGGCAAAGCAGUAACUCUGCAGUGUUUUGGGGAUGAGAUUCUUCAGUGAUAAGAUUUAUACAAAGAAUUCUGCAUUGUUAAAUAUUAUUGCUGAUUUCUUAUGAUCUCCAAUAAGUGAUUGAAGAACACAAUUUUUUAUUAUUUUUUUUUAGAAUGUAAAUUAUUCUGUAUGAUGGUGAAAUAAACAAUACACAUGAAUCUCCCUAGUUAGUAUAAUAGUCAAAUAAUAAGGAUCUGUCUGCUCAUGUCUACACAUCUUUCAAAUAAAUCAUGGAUUCAAAAUUCAGAUGCAAAAUAAAGAAUGUUGAGAGCACCAUGCAGAUUUGAAUCUACCCCUAGGUGAACUAGGAUACAUAAUUCAGUGAAUGGAUUGCAUCCAUCUAUUAAAGAUUGAUCCUAUAAAUGUGCAAAGAGGUUAGACUCCAAAAGAAAGCAGAGCUGUCUGCAGCAAUUUCUAACAUCUAAAUGCAGAGGCAGAGCUGACCACUUGAGAAAUUUCUUGAAGGUUUGUGAAGCUACCUGAGGAUUGUGUUACAUCCCCCCACACACCACUGAAUGUAAAUCAUACUUAAUACAUAUCAUGUGUUAUUUUCUCUCUGAUCGUUAGAAUGCCUUAAGCUACUGAAGUAUGAACGGCUAAUGAGUUCAGCUUUUUCCCUGGUUUAAUUAACUAUUCCCAAACAGUAUCCUUCUAAAGCAUGAGACAAAGACCAGAGCAGAGGACCACUUGCUGAGCAAUGUGCCUUUUAAAGCUACUCUUUGCUGCUCACAUUGGCACUGUUUCAAACUACCUAAACUACCUCCAAGCAAGUUCAGUUGGAUACUGGGUGUGAUCUAGUCAAUGGACUGUGUGUCUGUGAAAAGGCUGACUUAAUAGCCUCAAACACUAUUUUGCUGGAAUGGAGCUAUGCUGCACUGCAUCCUACUGCAUUGGCACAUUAGUGGCUGUGUGAUAUAAUUUGUUUUUCAUUGCACAUUGACCUAUGUACUAUAUUCCAUUAAAAUAUCACAGAGCUUCAUUUUAAUUCUCCUGUGAAAAACCCUUUGACUAAAUUCAUUGAACAAUGAAAAGUCAUCAGUUUUUAUAGUGCUUGAGGACUUACUGAAUUCUUGGAAAGUAACUUUUGUUUAUUUCAGUGAACUGAAACAAAUACUUAGCUUUAGGUAUACUUUUUAACACUAUACUAAGUAAAGAUGAAUUUCCUAUCCGUUUUUAGAUGUUAACAAAGUGCAUUCUCAAAGCCUACCUUUAUGUU